UGGGGAAUUUUGGACAAUGGGCGCAAGCCUGAUCCAGCCAUGCCGCGUGCAGGAUGAAGGCCUUCGGGUUGUAAACUGCUUUUGUACGGAACGAAAAGACUCCUUCUAAUAAAGGGGGUCCAUGACGGUACCGUAAGAAUAAGCACCGGCUAACUACGUGCCAGCAGCCGCGGUAAUACGUAGGGUGCAAGCGUUAAUCGGAAUUACUUGGCGUAACGCGUGCGCAGGCGGUUAUGCAAGACAGAGGUGAAAUCCCCGGGCUCAACCUGGGAACUGCCUUUGUGACUGAAUAGCUAGAGUACGGUAGAGGGGGAUGGAAUUCCGCGUGUAGCAGUGAAAUGCGUAGAUAUGCGGAGGAACACCGAUGGCGAAGGCAAUCCCCUGGACCUGUACUGACGCUCAUGAACGAAAGCGUGGGGAGCAAACA
rnacentral:rRNA from 1 species